rnacentral:lncRNA from 1 species
CAAGUGCAAGCAGGAGAGAGUCACACAACACAUUAUCUUUGCAUGGAAGACAAGAAUAUCUCCCACUAGAGAAAACUUCAGGCCUAACAGGUAACCUCCGAUGGGGCAAGUUUAAAAAGCUAUUUUCUGGAGCAGGUACUAGGAUGGCCUUCAGGAGCAUCUUAGUGCUUUCUGACCUACCAGCGUUCCUCACAGCUUUGAAUCCUUUUCCGCUUUCUCCACUUGAAUGUGAACAUCUACAGACCUACAGCUCAGAAGCCAGCAUGCUUAAAGGGUAUAAUGGAGGACACGGCCGAAAAACUUUGCACUUUUCAACCAGACAAAUGCAAAACCUGGUGGGCGUAAGAAGGAGCACAUAUG